rnacentral:rRNA from 1 species
AGCGAACGCUGGCGGCAGGCUUAACACAUGCAAGUCGAGCGCCCCGCCAGGGGAGCGGCAGACGGGUGAGUAACACGUGGGAACGUACCCUUUGGUUCGGAACAACCCAGGGAAACUUGGGCUAAUACCGGAUAAGUCCGCGAGGAGAAAGAUUUAUCGCCGAAGGAUCGGCCCGCGUCUGAUUAGCUAGUUGGUGUGGUAACGGCGCACCAAGGCGACGAUCAGUAGCUGGUCUGAGAGGAUGAUCAGCCACACUGGGACUGAGACACGGCCCAGACUCCUACGGGAGGCAGCAGUGGGGAAUAUUGGACAAUGGGGGCAACCCUGAUCCAGCCAUGCCGCGUGAGUGAUGAAGGCCCUAGGGUUGUAAAGCUCUUUCGGUGGGGAAGAUAAUGACGGUACCCACAGAAGAAGCCCCGGCUAACUUCGUG